rnacentral:rRNA from 1 species
UACGAAGGGGGCUAGCGUUGCUCGGAAUCACUGGGCGUAAAGCGCACGUAGGCGGCUUCUAAGUCAGGGGUGAAAUCCUGGAGCUCAACUCCAGAACUGCCUUUGAUACUGGAGAGCUUGAGUCCGGAAGAGGUGAGUGGAACUCCGAGUGUAGAGGUGAAAUUCGUAGAUAUUCGGAAGAACACCAGUGGCGAAGGCGGCUCACUGGUCCGGUACUGACGCUGAGGUGCGAAAGCG